ensembl:lncRNA
AUUUGGGAAGGGCCUCUUUCUGCCCCCUGCCCGCUCUGCUUUUCCUCCUUCUUCCAUCCUACGAAGGGCUCCAGCAGCUGUCCUGGACCAUGAGGUGGCCUUGAGGAAGAAGCCACAAGCUAGGAGGGAGGAGCAGAAAGAUAGGGACCUGAGCCCCUGAUGACACCACAGAGCCGCCAUACUUGUCCUGCAUGGCCAACGUGUAGAUCUGGACACGAGAGAGAUAAGCUUCUGUCUUGUGCAAGCUACCACCCCCACCGAAGUCCCAUGUGAAUAUCCAGUACCCCAAGGACACUUGCAAUGUCACACUGGCCUCACGCUUUCACUUUCUGAUGAACGUGGCCUUGACACAUCUCCAACUGACACCUGUUGAAACAAAUGUACCUUUCCAUCCUACAGGACGUCCACAUAUAACAAAAGACAUGAUUACACCGUAGGUCCAAGCUUUCAGCUCUACCAGAAGGACUGGAAUAUGUGGAAAUUCAGGGCCCACCUUCCCAUUUGGCCUUGCACUGGGGAGCAGCUGGACUUAGAAGAAGAACUUGCUCUUCAGAGCUGGACAGUGUCCCUGACCAGAUGAGGAAACUGAGGCACAGAAAAGGAUGAGGAUGAGCCAGAAUUCAAAGCCAGGCAGUCUGAUUCUGAGCCUAUCCACUCAACCACCUUGCACAGCUCCCUCUAAUGCAAAGACCCCUCAUAAGGGCCAGGAGUUUUACUAACAUUGCCAGAAGUCUCGCAGCAAACUGGGGGCCUCACACACGAUCUAGCCGCACAUUAGAACCAGCUGAGAAGGCUGUAAAGCACACCUAGGCCUGGAGCAAACACCAUAAUGGGUUGUCAUCUGGGGACUCGAAUGAAGAGUGAUGCGGAAGCCCUGCGCUCUCCUUGUACUGUUUUUGUACCUCUCAAGUUUCAUCAAAAUUUUUUUUAAAAAGUGAAAGUAACUAAAGAACGUAGUAGGACAAUAUUAGCUGACCUGGAGGGAUUUCUCCAGGAAUUGUUAGCAAGAGGUGCUAAUAAAAGUGUUACUUACAAGAUCCAGAAACGUGCGUGUGUGUGAUGUGAUC